AGUGAACGCUGGCGGUAGGCCUAGCACAUGCAAGUCGAACGGCAGCACAGAGGAGCUUGCUCCUUGGGUGGCGAGUGGCGGACGGGUGAGGAAUACAUCGGAAUCUACUCUGUCGUGGGGGAUAACGUAGGGAAACUUACGCUCAUACCGCAUACGACCUACGGGUGAAAGCAGGGGAUCUUCGGACCUUGCGCGAUUGAAUGAGCCUAUGUCGGGUUAGCUAGUUGGCGGGGGAAAGGCCCACCAAGGCGACGAUCCGUAGCUGGUCUGAGAGGAUGAACAGCCACACUGGAACUGAGACACGGUCCAGACUCCUACGGGAGGCAGAAGUGGGGAAUAUUAGACAAUGGGCGCAAGCCUGAUCCAGCCAUACCGCGUGGGUGAAGAAGGCCUUCGGGUUGUAAAGCCCUUUUGUUGGGAAAGAAAUCCAUCUGGUUAAUACCCGGAUGGGAUGACGGUACCCAAAGAAUAAGCACCGGCUAACUUCGUGCCAGCCGCCGCCGUAA
rnacentral:rRNA from 1 species